AGUGAACGCUGGCGGUAGGCCUAACACAUGCAAGUCGAACGGCAGCACAGUAAGAGCUUGCUCUUACGGGUGGCGAGUGGCGGACGGGUGAGGAAUACAUCGGAAUCUACUUUUUCGUGGGGGAUAACGUAGGGAAACUUACGCUAAUACCGCAUACGACCUACGGGUGAAAGCAGGGGAUCUUCGGACCUUGCGCGAUUGAAUGAGCCGAUGUCGGAUUAGCUAGUUGGCGGGGUAAAGGCCCACCAAGGCGACGAUCCGUAGCUGGUCUGAGAGGAUGAUCAGCCACACUGGAACUGAGACACGGUCCAGACUCCUACGGGAGGCAGCAGUGGGGAAUAUUGGACAAUGGGCGCAAGCCUGAUCCAGCCAUACCGCGUGGGUGAAGAAGGCCUUCGGGUUGUAAAGCCCUUUUGUUGGGAAAGAAAAGCAGCAGGUUAAUACCCCGCUGUUCUGACGGUACCCAAAGAAUAAGCACCUUUUAACUUCGUG
rnacentral:rRNA from 1 species